rnacentral:rRNA from 1 species
UACAGAGGUCCCAAGCGUUGUUCGGAUUCACUGGGCGUAAAGGGUGCGUAGGUGGCGGGGUAAGUCGGAUGUGAAAGCUCGGAGCUCAACUCCGAAAUGGCAUUGGAAACUACCUUGCUCGAGGGUUGGAGGGGGGACUGGAAUUCUCGGUGUAGCAGUGAAAUGCGUAGAUAUCGAGAGGAACACCAGUGGCGAAGGCGGGUCUCUGGGCCGAUACUGACGCUGAGGCGCGAAAGCGUGGGGAGCAAACAGG